GUUACUGUAGUUCAACGGUAGAACGCUCGUAUGUGGAAUGAGCAACCUGAGUUCAACUCUCAGUAGUGACC